rnacentral:rRNA from 1 species
AGCGAACGCUGGCGGCAGGCUUAACACAUGCAAGUCGAGCGGGCGUAGCAAUACGUCAGCGGCAGACGGGUGAGUAACGCGUGGGAACGUACCUUUUGGUUCGGAACAACACAGGGAAACUUGUGCUAAUACCGGAUAAGCCCUUACGGGGAAAGAUUUAUCGCCGAAAGAUCGGCCCGCGUCUGAUUAGCUAGUUGGUAGGGUAAUGGCCUACCAAGGCGACGAUCAGUAGCUGGUCUGAGAGGAUGAUCAGCCACAUUGGGACUGAGACACGGCCCAAACUCCUACGGGAGGCAGCAGUGGGGAAUAUUGGACAAUGGGGGCAACCCUGAUCCAGCCAUGCCGCGUGAGUGAUGAAGGCCCUAGGGUUGUAAAGCUCUUUUGUGCGGGAAGAUAAUGACGGUACCGCAAGAAUAAGCCCCGGCUAACUUCUUGCCAGCAGCCGCGGUAAU